AAGGUCUUGCCUCACGCUAAACACUAUCGCACUUCCUCUUACUGAUCCAUACUCCACUCUUUCUAUUUCUUUCCCCUCUUUUUUCAUCAUCCCCAUUUAGGCUUCAUUAUUCCAUGAAAUACAUAUGGGAAAAUACCCCGCUUGAUGAAGCCCGGAUGUGUGGAAAUAAGAAUCUGAUCAAGUUGCUUGAAGAUGCAAAAUCUGCUCAACUGUAAGAAUUUCUGUAUUCCUCCCAAGAAUUUACAGAUUGGGCACUUUUUCCCCAAAGCAGGGAGAAGAAAAGUAGGUGCGCGAGGGCACUUUCACGAGAUAUUGAAGUGCAUAAAGUCCUUGACUGGGACUGUUACCUAGAGAGCGUGCACGAGUUCCAUGACUGGGAAAAAAGAGGAGUUUCAUUUUGAUAAAAGCAAGGUUAGAUCCGAUGUUAGAUUGUGUGAAGGGCGUGCCAGACCGAUUGAUAUCCUAACCAAGCAUAUCAAUGGAUCCGCUGAUUUGGAUAUAGAAAUAAAUGAACCAUACAUGGUGUUCAAGGGUUUGACAGUAAAGGAAAUGGAAGAGCUUCGUGAUGACAUCAAAUGCAUCUGGACCUUCACAGGGCCACACCCACCCAUGUAGAAUAUUGGGAGGUUAUUGGAAUGAAUUGGAAGAGGAGUUGAAGUAUCAAGGAGUUGGAACCCAGGAAGGAUAGAAAACGCACUAGAAGAGGUUACAGAAGGUCGCAGGACGCCUGGUUGCCCUUUUCUGGGGCCCCAGCGCCAGCGCAGGGUGCCUGGUUGCCCUUUCUGGGCCCCUCAACGCCACUCUACACCGCAACACACCUAAGGCGCCCUUCUAGGGGCGCUGAGCGCUAGUUUCAAUGCACUGUUGAGCGCCAGUUUCAAUGCAUUGUUGAGCGCCAAUUUCAAUGCACCGUUGAGUGCCUGCUUGCCCUCUACAGAAAAGAAAGGCAUUACCGACGGUCAUAAUCCCUCGAAAACAGCCAAAAGUCGUCGGUAAUGACGUAUUAUCGACGACUUAACGACGGUCAAAAAGCCUUCGGUAAUUAUCGAAGGGCAGAAGCCAUCGGUAUUAAUCCUUCGGUAAUUUAUUCUUUUCUUGUAGUGAGGGGCGCAUAGCGCUAGUUCUCUCGUUGUGUCGCCUGCUUGCCCUUAGUUGGGGCGUUGAACGCCAGUGACUUGGGCUUGUGAGCUAAUUUUGAUCUAUUUAAGGACUUGCACGUCCUAGGAUUCACAUCUUUGGAAGGUUGAAGCGCACAACACACUUUUCGACCCUUUGGAGGCAGAAUUGGAUGCGGGAGCUCUCCUCUUCGUUUUCUAGGGUUUUUAUCUCACUUUGAUUCCAUUGUAUACGAAGGUUUUCCAUGACUGUGGAGAACUAAAUUCAUUUGUUAUUGGAGAAAAUGUAACCUCUAAACUUUCAUGUAUUUGAAUAUGAUUUGAAUUA